rnacentral:rRNA from 1 species
UGGGGAAUCUUGCACAAUGGGGGAAACCCUGAUGCAGCGACGCCGCGUGAGUGAUGACGCCCUUCGGGGUGUAAAGCUCUUUCGACGGGAACGAUUAUGACGGUACCCGGAGAAGAAGCUGCGGCUAACUACGUGCCAGCAGCCGCGGUAAUACGUAGGCAGCAAGCGUUGUUCGGAAUUACUGGGCGUAAAGAGUAUGUAGGUGGUUUGCUAAGUCCGAUGUGAAAUCUCCCGGCUUAACUGGGAGGGUGCGUUAGAUACUGGCAGGCUUGAGUGUGGGAGAGGAAAGCGGAAUUCCUGGUGUAGCGGUGAAAUGCGUAGAUAUCAGGAGGAACGCCUGUGGUGUAGACGGCUUUCUGGACCAUUACUGACACUGAGAUACGAAAGCGUGGGUAGCAAACAGG